CAUUCAGAUUUGCUUGUAGCGCUCACUGACUUCUGGCUAGAAGGGAAUACAAGAAAUGCUGAAGAAAUCAUGCCAUUGAGAGGAGUGACCGUGUUAAGAUCUACCCAGAUCUCUGCACCCCUGCUCCUGGACUGUGUAGCCCUUCCUUCUCACUCUGCUCCUGCAGCAGUUCCAGGCUUUCCUGCUCUCCGGGUCCUAAUACAGUUACUGACCACUGCAUUUUUUCUGCAUGACUUGACAGUGUUGUCUUUGUUGGCUCUUCCCUGUGUGGAGGUAAGUUAAUAUCAAAGGGACAACAAUUAAAGAAAUAAUCACGGGUAGAUUUUUGCCUGAUGAUUGAAACCACAUUAUUUGCCUUAAUUUCUGCUGGAGCAAGGCUUUGAAUCUCAAGCAGAGGCCAGCAGCUGGCACAGGGUUGAUGACCAGAAGAAGGCUUGCUGAGCCAGUGUACAGACAGUGUCUUCAGGCCUGUAUG
rnacentral:lncRNA from 1 species